AAAUCAUCCUCGUAUACUAAUAAAGAAGGGCCUUGGACGUCCAGCAACCUUGAGGAGAUUGAGAGGUUGAUUGCCUUUUUAGUAUAUACAGCUUUGGUAAAGGUAGAAAGUGAGACUGAAAAUUAUUGGAGUGUAAAAACCUUAUAGCAUGGUCUGUGGGAAAUCGGUUUAAGUACAAUGCUCCUAUAGCUUUUCUGAAUGUGGUGGACCCUGUCACUGAAAACCCCAGCAAUAAACUGUAUCAAGAACUGUACCAGCCAUCGCAGAAUAUUGCUGUUGUCUGUUGACGAACACAUGGUCAAAUCAAGGAACAGGCCAGGGAUUAGGCAGUUCAUGAAAGAUAAGCCUACUAAGUGGGGGAUAAAUCUAUACAGACAGUUCUAAUGGUUAUACUUGCGACUUUGAGAUUUAUACAGGGAUGAAGUCCAGAGAUUCAUCGCAGCAUGGAUUGGGGUAUGAUGUGGUGAU